GAAAUGAAGGAGGAAAUCUCUUUAUAAAGGUUUCUAAAGAAAUUAAAAAAAUUAACUUGUACAUUGACUUUGUAAUGGAAGUGAGAACAUACAGGAAAGCCCUUUGGGGAGUUAGCUUUAGAAGGGAAAUACCGGGAAAUACAAGUAAGACAAGGCACUUACAGAAAAAGUAGAAAUUUCAUGUUUAAUAAAUGGUCAAAUUUAACAUAGCUCUGAAUAUAUAAUUUUCCAUUAGAAUAUUGGUAACAACAUUGCAGUAAACUUGAGUCUGGGUACCCCGCACUGAGUAAAAAUGGUAGAUUCUAUUUUGUGUGAGUUCAGUCAAAGAGACAUGGGGGACAAUUAGUCCGGUCUCUGCUUCUGUUGUUUAGCAGAGCCUCCAGCCCGGAAGCACACUGAGAUGUCUUGUGUUUUUCAGAUCUUUAAUUUUUGAAUGCUGUACUGUACCCAAGGACCUCGCUUUUUUUCACUGUGCAUAUGCAUGAUGUGGGACAUCCCAUAUUGGAGACACAGAUGACUUAUUGAAAGCCCUGCCUAAGACUUAAUUAAUAUCAGCAUUUCAAGUAGCUUGCAAGAUUGGAUUCUGUGGCUAUAUACUAUAGGAAUAUAGACUUCCUGGUCUUUUUCUUACUGCCUCCAAAUAUAACCAGAUAAUCCUCUGUCUGGUUUCUUGGGAGCCACUUGUAUCUUACUUUCUUGCAGGAACAUUCUAAAGGGUUCCUUCAGAAAACUUGGGAAAGUGUAAGACUAAAGACAAACCACAGCCUGAAGCCUAGGCUGCUGACUUGAGCACAGAUGGGAGAAUGUUAACAGCCAAGAAAUAUGAGGUCUUUGGCUCUUUUCCCAGAACUGCCAGGCUAAGACCUUGGCAGAGACUCAACAGGAAACUGAACUCUAUUUGCAUAUCCUUUUAUACAUGGGAGAUUAAAAGCUUCAACCUUGAGUGAUCACAGUUUUUGAGAAUCAUGAUGAGGCAUUAAAGAAGAGGAGGAGUGUCUCAAGGGAGGUGAGCUGGAGGUGAUGCAAGCCUCAGACUCAGGGCUGGGACCCUUGGGACUCAAAAGAGAGAAAAGGUGGAGAAAAGAGAAAGCUACUAUUUUCUUCAUUUUGCCCCUGCUAACAUCCAAUGCACUUAGGAGCCUCGAUGUCUGCUCUCCAAGAGUGGAGAGAGGAUGCCAGACAGAUAUUUGAGCAGAACAAAGAGAGCCAACAGGAUGAAGGCAUUCCCUGGCUGGUUGGACAAGCAACUGAAGAACAGGAACAGAAGUGAAUGAAAAGAGAAGAUGCUGUGUUUGUGUUUUCUCUUGGUUAGAAUGCUGUGAGUCAGGACCUUAGCUGCUGGGUGUCCUGGGACUGCCUUCGAUGAAGAACCUGAGGCUCACCUUGCUUAAGUGACUUGAGCAGCUUCACGCAUCUUGUAAGUAGUAGAGACAGAGUCAAAACCAGAUCUUCCUGCCCUCUCUAUCAUAUAAACCACUUACACUGAAUUACAAAGUGAAACUGAUCUAUGGUGAAUUGUACUAAUGUUCUGCUUCUGCCAUGGGCACCAGAGGAGAUACCUUUCUUUGUUGACACUAAUCUCAAAGGCUAAAUUAGAUCCCCCAAACUCAUUUCCAUUAAUAACAUGUCAAAGGCUUGUGUCAUGCGUUAAUUUAUCCAAAGUGAUCUUGAUUCUAUUUACAUUUUGGUGCCACCUUUUAAUGUCACCAUUUUUAUAAAUUAAAUAUGUAAUAUAUAAAGCCAGUCUUCACUUACUGAUAUGUUAAUUUUUAACCCAAACUUCUUAGUCUGACAUUCCAGCAAUACCGGAGCAUUGACAGUUGAUAAUAGCUCUAUGUGCUACCUCUCCAAGAAACAAAUUUGCAUUUUAACCUGCCCCUUCAAUGGCUGAACUUCAAAGGGUCACUGAUGAAUGCCACAGCAGGUUGGUGGGAAUAUAAUUCUUUUUAUGGAUAAUAUUUGUGUGUGUAUGUGUGUGUGUGUGUUAAAUCCUACCACAUAAGUCACUAACCUAUGGGUAAGGCCAGUCUUGACCUAAAAUGAGGAAUUCUGUAAAAUUUCAAAUGCAAAUCACAUUUUAUUUUUGAUGUUAGAGAAAACUGCAAAUUGGAACAGCAGAGCUGUGCCUCUGGCCAUUUCCUGGAACUACAGAGGAGCAACUUGCCCCGGUUUCCAGUGGGUGAUGUUCCUCUUCUGCCACAGUCCCUGGCGAUGUUGAUGUGAUUGCCAUCAGAGCUCAGAAGCACAGAGCAGAAUCAUCCCCUGGAGGAGGAUUCCCUUCAGUGUAAGAAGUUCUUACAGAAUUAAUCCUCAAAGACUGUGGGUGGACUCUGCCAGGUUUUUCCCCGGGUGUACCAGAAGAGAGGAAGAGCCCUCAAAUACAGGAAAGUGCUCUUUUCAGUGACAGUAGUUCUUUUGGGCCCUGUGGCUAAGUGUGCUCCCACCCCAGCAGUAAGAUCACAGCUAAUCCUGAGAGGCAAGAGCUCACACCAGGCUACUGAAAGAAAAAGUGUCCUUUGUGGAUUGCAAGAGGAACUGGGACACACUGCUGGAAAUGAAGUGGCAGGUCAUAAACUAUCAUAAACUCAGGAGGAGAGGUGUUCCUUUUUGAGACACUCAUCACAACUAGAGAGAAUGCAGCUAAGAAAAUGCAGUCUUUAGGGGGACCUGGACUGUUGAAGUAUUUGAGCUAUUCGGAGGAAAUAGAAACUUGGAAGAGAUCUUUGUUCCACUAUUAUUUGGCAGCCCCUUACCCGCAGCUGCCAUUACUCCAGAUUCUCUCUGAUGAUCCUGCAUCAGGAGAAUGAGUUGACUGGGCACCACUGGGAAAUGUGGGCAGCUCCAGGCUGAACUAGAGAAGGGGCAUGUCAAAGGUCACUUAUUUGUGGCUUGACCCUUUGGAGGCCAGAUGUAAGAAUCAAUUUCUCACAGGUCCCAUGCUAACGCUUUUCAUAUUUAUUUCCAUCUGAGACUCACUUAGGCUAGGCAAAUAUCCCAUGGGUCUGUACCUCUCCAGUGCUUUCUUGCUCAUGUAAAAUUAGCUCAUUGGAAUGAAUAAAGAGAAUGGUAUUACUUUGGCUCGAACACGAAUGAGCACUUUCACUUUGUCAUAGUGUAAAUAUUAAAGUUGUAAGAGACAGCCCAGGGACCAACUAUUUUUUUUUUAAAGAUCCAAGUGCUUGCAUAGUUUCUAAAAUUCUACACCGGGGAACUAUAUCCUCAUUCAGCACUGAGACUCCUUGGUUCCCUAAAACCAAAGUCUCCAGGUGCCUUCAGGGGCCAACCAAGAUGGAGCUCCUUAUAGACCCAUGCAAUGUCAGAACUGGAAAACUUAGAAAUCUUUCAGUCCACCCAUCAUUUUAUGGGUGGCAAACUGAGAUCCAGAGAAUGCUCAAAUCUCAUAAUUAGCUAUGAAAGGUUAUGAUUAAAAUGCAAAUUUGGGGCCUCCAAUUUGGUCCUCUUUUCACUCUCCUUCUUGCUGGGGAAAGAACAGUGAUUCCUUGAUUGGCAGAGCAGAAAAUAUCUUCAGUUUUUAGGAUGACUUUAUUCCCCUAAAGAGUAUCUUUGUCACAUCUCCUCCUUGUCCAUUUUUAGAGACUCUACAGUGUUUAGCUACUGGUAGAUUUGUUCUAGUGGAUCUGGUACAAAUCUUAUAGAAAUAUCUACAAUUAUUCCAUGUUAUUCUGAAAUUAUUCAUACAGCAUUUCUUCUGUUUUAUUAGCCAUUUUUAAGGGAGAAGGAACCUAAGAUUAAUUGCUAUGGCUACAUGUCAUGCUCACCAAUGAACUCACCUCAUUUUAAUCCUCAUGAUCUAUUAUAGUAGGAAUGCUUGUUGUACAUAAGUAUUCAGGAUUACUGAAUCCACUUGAAUUUUUUGAGGACAGUGGCCAAAUACAAUUCUGUGGUCAAUUUAGGCUGCUCCUACUGUUCCCUGAUGUUAGGCAUUUUCUUCCACUAGGUCCUCUGGAAGGAUGAAAAACAAGGCAUUAUUAUACUUUUGAAUAAAAAUGGUUUGCCAAACAGAUUAUGUUUGUAGUUUGUGCUGUUGAACAGAAAUAAUAAAGAACUCUACUUGAAGUCUGAAACAAAUUCAGGAAAAAAUUAAAGGCAGUUUUAUUUUACAUAGUAGGGAGUAGAUUUUAGGAACUCCUUGCUCCUGGGGUAGAGCAUAUGAAUGUGUAUUCUAGAGAGAUUCAGACAAAUUCACUUAUGUUAGACAAAUGACUUUAAGGGAAACUAGGAAUGUUUUCAGGGCACAUAACCUUGUAUUUAAAAGAUACUGUUAUUAGAUCAUUUUUUCUCAUUAUAAAAAUAUGUUUUCAUUGAAGAAGAAAUUGUGGUUUACAUACAAUUAUAAAAAGAA
rnacentral:lncRNA from 1 species